GAUGAACGCUGGCGGCGUGCCUAAUACAUGCCAGUCGAGCGAACAGACGAGGAGCUUGCUCCUCUGACGUUAGCGGCGGACGGGUGAGUAACACGUGGAUAACCUACCUAUAAGACUGGGAUAACUUCGGGAAACCGGAGCUAAUACCGGAUAAUAUAUUGAACCGCAUGGUUCAAUAGUGAAAGACGGUUUUGCUGUCACUUAUAGAUGGAUCCGCGCCGCAUUAGCUAGUUGGUAAGGUAACGGCUUACCAAGGCAACGAUGCGUAGCCGACCUGAGAGGGUGAUCGGCCACGCUGGAACUGAGACACGGUCCAGACUCCUACGGGAGGCAGCAGUAGGGAAUCUUCCGCAAUGGGCGAAAGCUUGACGGAGCAACGCCGCGUGAGUGAUGAAGGUCUUCGGAUCGUAAAACUCUGUUAUUCGGGAAGAACAAAUGUGUAAGUAACUAUGCACGUCUUGACGGUACCUAAUCAGAAAGCCACGGCUAACUACGUG
rnacentral:rRNA from 1 species